rnacentral:lncRNA from 1 species
AAGCUCUUCGAUAAUGGAGAAAAGUAAAUCAUUCCCUUACUAUUCAUCUUCUUAUGCAGAAGCUCGAUUUGGCUUUGAAGAUCGUGCUAAAUCAUUCAGUUUCAAUGGCCCGGAAGACAAUCCCGAGGUGAAGAGGAGGAAAAGAGUGGCAAGUUAUAACAUGUAUACCAUGGAAGGUAAGCUGAAGUCAUCGUUGAGAAAUGGUUUCAAGUGGAUUAAGAACAAAUUUACAGACAAAUAUGAUGGCUUGUGAAGUAUAAAAAGUACAUUUUCUCCUCUUUUGAUGUUUUAUCGAGUGCGCAUGUGUCUAUAUAAGAUCAAGUAUCAUUGAAAGUGUUCAUUUCUGGAUUUCAUUGUCCUUGCAAUAUUGUUAGUAUGGUCAUGUAUUACGAUUAUAUAAUAUUAGAUUGUAAUAGUUGAUGUAUCUAUAUUCGUCCCUUUUCUUGGCUUUAAAUGUAUAUCUAAAUGUAUAUGAUAAGCUGCGUGGAGAGCAAUUUCAAAUUGGUUUUAAGGUAACUUGUCGGAU